rnacentral:rRNA from 1 species
AAGCGGAGCCGUAGCGAAAGCGAGUCUGAAUAGGGCGCAUAAGUAACAGGUCGUAGACCCGAAACCAGGUGAUCUACCCAUGUCCAGGAUGAAGGUAAGGUAAUACUUACUGGAGGUCCGAACCCACGCACGUUGAAAAGUGCGGGGAUGAGGUGUGGGUAGCGGAGAAAUUCCAAUCGAACUUGGAGAUAGCUGGUUCUCUCCGAAAUAGCUUUAGGGCUAGCCUCGAGGUAAAGAGUCAUGGAGGUAGAGCACUGUUUGGACUAGGGGCCCUUCUCGGGUUACCGAAUUCAGAUAAACUCCGAAUGCCAUGUACUUAUACUCGGGAGUCAGACUGCGAGUGAUAAGAUCCGUAGUCGAAAGGGAAACAGCCCAGACCACCAGUUAAGGUCCCCAAAUAUAUGUUAAGUGGAAAAGGAUGUGGGGUUGCUUAGACAACCAGGAUGUUGGCUUAGAAGCAGCCACCAUUGAAAGAGUGCGUAAUAGCUCACUGGUCGAGUGACCCCGCGCCGAAAAUGUACCGGGGCUAAACAUAUUA